CGUAGGGUGCAAGCGUUGUCCGGAAUUAUUGGGCGUAAAGAGCUCGUAGGCGGUUUGUCGCGUCUGCUGUGAAAACCCGAGGCUCAACCUCGGGCUUGCAGUGGGUACGGGCAGACUAGAGUGCGGUAGGGGAGAUUGGAAUUCCUGGUGUAGCGGUGGAAUGCGCAGAUAUCAGGAGGAACACCGAUGGCGAAGGCAGAUCUCUGGGCCGUAACUGACGCUGAGGAGCGAAAGCAUGGGGAGCAAACAGGCUU
rnacentral:rRNA from 1 species